CGCGUAAUUAAAACUGAUAAAACGAAACGCUCUUGGCACGAAAAUUAAACCUAUCCGUAAACGUCCUCCUGUUGUUGGGUUAGGACACAGCAGAAUAUAUAUUAUAAUUAACCUCAAUCCCCGAGAUAAAUAACAAAGUCGUUCGUUUGUCCGUUAUUAUACUUCCUACAAUUUUCGAAUAAUUGACGAUAAUGAUAGAAUAUUAAAAAGCAUUGCAUAUUUACAUAUUAUUUUAACAAACCUCUGUGCAAAAUGUCAAGAUAUUUAGACCUGCAGUUGGUAUUGAGAUACUGUAAUGAUAGUCAACGAGUGAGUGACUUAUAUAAUAGAUUUCAAUUGAAAAACGAUUCUGAGUACAAUUCGUUAACCCAAGGCAGGUUACAGUGACUCGUACUGUAUAGUAUAUUAUAAAUAUAAUUGUACGUCGUUAAAAGCCAAACGAAU